rnacentral:tRNA from 1 species
GUGGGCGUAGCUCAGUUGGUAGAGCGCCUGACUGUGGCUCAGGUGGUCGAGGGUUCAAAUCCCUUCGCUCACCCCA